rnacentral:rRNA from 1 species
UACGGGGGGAGCAAGCGUUGUUCGGAUUUACUGGGCGUAAAGGGCGCGUAGGCGGCCACCGCAAGUCGACUGUGAAAUCUCCGGGCUUAACUCGGAAAGGUCAGCCGAUACUGCGGGGCUAGAGUGCAGAAGGGGCAACUGGAAUUCUCGGUGUAGCGGUGAAAUGCGUAGAUAUCGAGAGGAACACCUGCGGCGAAGGCGGCACUCUGGGCCGGUACUGACGCUGAGGAGCGAAAGCGUGGGGAGCAAACAGG